UACGAAGGGGGCUAGCGUUGCUCGGAAUCACUGGGCGUAAGGCGCACGUAGGCGGCUUGUUAAGUCAGGGGUGAAAUCCUGGAGCUCAACUCCAGAACUGCCUUUGAUACUGAAGAUCUUGAGUUCGGGAGAGGUGAGUGGAACUGCGAGUGUAGAGGUGAAAUUCGUAGAUAUUCGCAAGAACACCAGUGGCGAAGGCGGCUCACUGGCCCGAUACUGACGCUGAGGCACGAAAGCGUGGGGAGCAAACAGG
rnacentral:rRNA from 1 species